GACGAACCCCACAAACGUUAUUCGGAAUUACUGGGCUUAAAGGGCGCGUAGGCGGCGCGGAAAGUUGGCUGUGAAAUCCCUCGGCUCAACCGAGGAACUGCGCUCAAUACUACCGGGCUCGAGGGAGACAGAGGUGAGCGGAACUUAGGGUGUAGCGGUGAAAUGCGUAGAUAUCGGAAGGAACACCUGUGGCGAAAGCGGCACACUGGACCAUUACUGACGCUGAGGCACGAAAGCGAGGGGAGCAAACAGG
rnacentral:rRNA from 1 species